GAGGCAAUAACAGGUCUGUGAUGCCCUUAGAUGUCCUUGGCUGCACGCGCGCUACACUGCCUGGUGCAACGAGUUGUUUAUCUUACUGGUCUGAAAAGAUUGGUUAAUCUUUUGAAAACUUGGCGUGAUGGGGAUUGAUCAUUGAAAUUAUUGGUCAUGAACGAGGAAUUCCUAGUAAUUGCAAGUCAUCAACUUGCGAUGACUACGUCCCUGCUCUUUGUACACACCGCCCGUCGCUCCUACCGAUUGAAUGAUUAGAUGAAAUCCACGGAUUGGGUGUAUUCUUCGGAGUGCAUUUGAAAAGUCGAGUUAAUCUAAUCAUUUAGAGGAAGGAGAAGUCGUAACAAGGUUUCCGUAGGUGAACCUGCGGA
rnacentral:rRNA from 1 species